rnacentral:lncRNA from 1 species
GGUGAGGGAGGAAGUAACGAGUUAUUGAGAAUGAAGACUUCGUCUCUAUUCUAUUUACUUCUAACUCUUUUCCUCGUUUUGUCGUACGGUAUAUUAUCAUUUUUCUUCACGCUCAUAUCUUUAUUUAUAUAUGUUGUUUAUUAUUUCACGAAAUUGACACACACAGAAAUUUAAAAAAAAAAAAAAUUAUAGUGAUAUUGAUGGUUGAAAUUAAGAACAAAAAAAUUUAUUAUUUGAAUUAUUUGAGUGCUCAUAUUCUCUGAAUGAAUCUCUAGUUAUGAUGGGGUUUUGAGUUGAAACUCCCUUAUUAACCUUGCUCAUUAUGAUUGCAUUUUUACGUAUGAUAUCGAAGAAUUACGUUUGAAUGAAAUUGAUUGUGUUUCAGAAAAACAGGUGGAAAGAUGAGUGAAGCGGAAGAAAACUGUGACAGGGCAUUCCAUAUGGUCAAAUGCACUCCAGAGGAAUGCACGAGGCUCUGUGCAGCAUACUAUCCUGGAGGCAGCCAUUGCCGGUCCAAGAUCACUUGUUGCUGCCAAGGAAAAGAGAAAACAACAAAAUAAAUACAAAACAAUUG